rnacentral:rRNA from 1 species
UACGGGGGGGGCAAGCGUUGUUCGGAAUUACUGGGCGUAAAGGGCGCGUAGGCGGCCAGACAAAGUCGAGCGUUAAAUUCCAGGGCUUAACCCUGGGCUGUUGCUCGAUACUAGUCGGCUAGAGUGUGGAAGAGGGUGCUGGAAUUCUCGGUGUAGCGGUGAAAUGCGUAGAUAUCGGGAGGAACACCAGUGGCGAAGGCGGGCACCUGGGCUAACACUGACGCUGAUGCGCGAAAGCUAGGGGAGCAAACAGG